GAGGUUCGAGUCCUCUUCAAGGCAUAAUAUUGAAUAUUGAGAAUGCUCAUUGACUUGGAAUAAGUUCGGCAGCGGAUCACG